rnacentral:misc_RNA from 1 species
GAUGAAGAACGCAGUGAAAUGCGAUAAGUAAUGUGAAUUGCAGAAUUCAGUGAAUCAUCGAAUCUUUGAACGCACCUUGCGCCUUUUGGUAUUCCGAGGGGCAUGCCUGUUCGAGCGUCAUUAUAACCCCUCAAGCUCAGCUUGGUAUUGGGGCCUGCCAUCCUGGCAGCCCUUAAAAUCAGUGGCGGUGCCAUCCGGCUCUAAGCGUAGUAACUCUUCUCGCUAUGGAGUCCUGGUGGAUGCUUGCCAUUAAUCUUUUAACUUCUAUGGUUGACCUCGGAUCAGGUAGGGAUACCCGCUGAACUUAAGCAUAUCAAUAAGCGGAGGA